UUCAUGACUGUCCGGUCCAGAUGACUGACAGAUUGAUUCACUCUGUGAUUUCCAGCUUUUGAUGAUUAACUUCUUGACAGCAGUCUUAUCUUUUAUUUAAUACUAUUAUGAUGAUGAUAACAAAGGGCUGCACGUAGGGCAGCAUGGCAGUUGGAGUGGGUGCUGCCUCCUUUCCGCCUGUGAUAACUCAGUGUUAACGGCAAAACAGAAUGCAGCUUUACAUGAGGAGAAAGAGGAACAACUGCUGAAUCCGAUUAGUUGGGUUACUGCAGUAGGUCACUGCUAUAUGCCAGGAGGUUCUUAUAUCAUCAUUAUGAAUAAUUCUUAUUUCAGAGAAAAAGGGAAAAGGUAA
rnacentral:lncRNA from 1 species